CAGCUGGUCAUUCUAUGAUCCUUUGAAAUAUAUUUUGUGGGAGUCAUUAAUAUUGGCUGAGUUUGAGGAAUUUGGUCCUGUGUGAGUGCCAUCUGGUCACCCUGCUCACAGGGCUCAUCUGAAGAGCUUGAAAUGAGGCUUGAGACAAGUACAGGAAAAACAGGGAUCUCACUCAUUCACUUCUCAGGAGACAUCGUUUUCUGAAGUCAUGAAUAUGAGAGAGCAGCGCAUUAUCAAGAAUGG